GCCACCCAUGUCCCAUCGUCAGGGGACAGCGACGCGUCUGGACAGGCAUCAUACAUGACAGUAGCGGCCCUGGAGAGCCCUGGCAGGCGGGACGCUGGGGUCCAGUGAGGGGAAGCAGCCUGCUCAGCGCUGGACAAGCCCUCCCAGGAUGACCGCAACACUCCCAGCAGUGGGCACCAGAGGGAAACCAGGGUGGCCCCCAGACUGCCGUGUGCACAGGUGACCCCGUGGGCAUCUCUCCCACACAUUAGCUGUGGGUUUACUCUUCGCGCCCCAUGCGCUCUGUGGGAUGGCACCUCCUCCGCAGGUCCGUUCCCCUCUACGCUCUGAUGACGCCCAGGCUGAAGCUGACAUGAAGCUGGCGUGCUCCGUGAGGCCACGCUGGGCCCAUCGCUCUCCACCACUCUGCUCUUGGAAGGGGCAUCUGUCAUCACGUUGGGUGGCUGACCUUCACCUUCCUCCCUCGUUGCCAUCCACAGCACCCAGCUAAUUCCCGAUUCGGGUCAUUUUCAACCCCUCCUAGCCAGCUCUCUGUCCCACCACUCCCUGGGGCCAGGCACCAGCAGGUGGAGGCCACCCUUGCCAGGAAGGCGCCGUCUUCCUCAAAAGCCAAACAUCGCAGUGGAUGCUGUCGUGUUGUCUAAAUGGAAAAACGUGGUGGGAAGCCAGAACUGAACCGCGUCGGCUGCGAGCCCCCCCGGCCAGGUCCGUUUCCACGUGCUCGUCCUCUCAACACCACUCUGCAGAUGGAAGAGCGGAGGCCAGGAGAGAAGAACCGGCUGCCCAGGAUGCCGCGGGAAGGAUGCGGCACUUGGCCUGGUGCGCUUUUCCUGUAUUGCGCACGCUGGGCCCAUUGAUCGUGACUGUCAUUGAGCAACAACUGUCCCCUUCCAGGCUUAGCCAAGCUCCGGACCUCACAGAUCCACUGUGCCGGCCACCAGCCUGAGCCCUGGGCUGGCCUCCUGCACCUGUGGGACGGCUCUCUUAGGCCAGGCAUUCCCUCACCGCCCACGGAGGAAAAGCUGCCACGCACCCAGCCCAUGGCUUCCCAAAGUGGAGAGAGCGCCAGGGAAAGACUCACAGCAAUGCUCGGUGACCCAGCGAGGAAAUGGAGCGAGACGCAACGCCUAGGAGCAGACCUGCAGAUGCUGAUAGGCGAGGAUGUCCCGGAGGACUUUUGUGACCAAGAGAGAUGAAGCCCCGCCAGGAAGGAAGGGCUCUGACGCCAGCGAGGAGUCUCCCACCCCUUCCAAGUCGGAGGGUGGGGGUGCCUGGAGGCUGGACUUGGGCUGGCACAGAGCAGCAACCCAAGUGGUGCCGAGGGCUGCUCAGAGGAGCACGGAGCCCGCAGAGGCCGUGGACGCAGCUCCCCUUCCCUUCGCUGGCCAAGCCUCCACACGUUUUUGAAAAAGGCUGAUUCGUAGCCGGCACCGCGGCUCACUAGACUAAUCCUCUGCCUUGCGGCGCCGGCACCCCGGGUUCUAGUCCCGGUCGGGGCGCCGGAUUCUGUCCCGGUUGCCCCUCUUCCAGUCUAGCUCUCUGCUGGGGCCAGGGAGUGCAGCGGAGGAUGGCCCAAGUGCUUGGGCCCUGCACCCCAUGGGAGACCAGGAGAAGCACCUGGCUCCUGGCUUCGGAUCAGCACGGUGUGCCGGCCACAGCGCGCCAGCCGUGGCAGCCAUUGGAGGGUGAACCAACGGCAAAAGGAAGACCUUUCUCUCUGUCUCUCACUCUCACUGUCCACUCUGCCUGUCAAAAAAAAAAAAAAAAAAAAGGCUGAUUCGUGUUCUAGACUCGCUGGGUUCAGCAGCUGUCGAGGUCCCCCUCUGAGGACGCUGGGGAAUCCGGCUGCCUCCUUCCCUGGUCUCCAGCCUCCCCCCAAGUUGCCUCCCUACUGCGACAGACAAAGACAAUAGACUCUCUUUCCUAAAGUCCUUGGAACGGUUUCCAAGUUCAGUGUCACCUGGGCUGAUGAGGUGGGGCUGCCCUGGAGCUGGGAGGCCACACCAGUUGCUGCAGCUUACACAGUGAGUGGGGGUGGAUCUGAAUCCAGAACCCAGGAGUCCGGGCACCAGCUUGCUGCCUUUAUGAUUUUUUGACCACAAGCCAUAGCCUGAAAUACACUUUACAUCUUGGCCAACAUACACACACGCACGCACAUGCACACACACACACGCACACACGCACACAUGCACGCAUAUGUACAGAGAAACAAACUUCCCCAAAGCAGGACUCACCCCACUUCUCGCCAGGCAGGCUGAUAUUUUCUACUCCGUCUUGCUCUUUAAAACGCCAGCCACAAGAUACUAAAUAGAUUUCCUCACUCGCCAACAAAUCAGUUUGGCAGCAGCCAGAGUCCCCCGCCUUUGCUGGCUCAGGAACGCGGCGGCAGCAGCGCCGUCUGCAGCCAGGCUGCCUGAAAGGCCAGUGUGCCCGAAGUCGAAGUUCGGAGCUAAUGGACUUGGUGCUGACGGGUGCAGGAGGAGGCAGCAGGGUGAGCGGUGGUUUCACAGCAAGGGCACAGCUGCUGGUGCCGUGUGAGAACGCACUGCCACGGAAGCCUGGUGCUGGCGCGGAGGCUGCCAGCCCGAGCGCUUGCGGUCUGAGCAGCUCGGUGUUGCUCCUUCCUGCUCGGGGCUCCGCAGCCCAGACCACAGGCCUUCAGGUUGUCAUGGCAACCCAGGCCUGCAGCCCCCACGGGCCUCCUGCCUCCCCACCCCGAGUGCUCCCAUCCAUCAAUUAAUAACCUAAUAAUAUCUGGCAACAGACACUGCAAAGCCCCAGACAGCAGCCCUCAUGAAAAACAGACAGACUUUCCCGGGGGCUGGGGAGCCGCCAGCACGCUCCUUACCCUCGAGCCCGGCUACCUGCGGAAGUCUACCCUCCUGCCUCUGAAUCACUCUCUCCCGGGCUUCUCCCUCCUGUUUGAAAGGCAGGGCUGGCGGAGCUGGGGACUGCAGCCUCACAGGGCCCCGGGACACAGAGAGAAGGCACCGAGCAGAACGCCCUGCACGGGGCUCAGAGGCCCUGAUUUGACUGGAGCCCUCGCUGUGGACGUCCGUGUCCCGGCUGAUCCUCUCCCGCGAGAAACCCUUCAUCCCUUGCAAAAGGCGAAUCAACUCAGCACUAUGGCACCAGAGGGGCGAGAAUGGAAAAGCAAGGGAGAGGCCUUUCCAGUCUGGGAGGUCCAUGACACUGGCAAAUGGAUGGACGCGCUGGUCACCCACAGGGGGCAUCUAAGUCCCUGCCCCUUGGACCUAGGUGGGCUCUGUCACUCCAUGACCAACAGAAGAUAGGAGAGGCAACUGUCAAUUUCUGAGUCCGGGGCUGAACAAGACUGGCAGCUCCUACUUCCUGUCUUCUGAAACCCAACUGCCAUGCUGGGAGGAAGCCAAGCAGCCUCAUGGAGAGGCCCAGGUUGCAAGAAACCAAGGCCCUGGCCACCUGCUGACAGCAGGGAUCAAUCCGCCUGCCCUGCAAGUGGGUGAUCGUGGAAGAGGGCAGCUGACGUCACCAAGAGCAGAGGUAAGUCACCCCCGCCACGCCCUGCCCAAACCAGAUUUGUGAUAAAAGAAGUGUCACCUGAAGCUAGUAAUAUUGAGUGUCUUCUGUGGUUUGCAGUGUAGCAAUAGAUAAGUGGCACAUUAAGUAUUGUUCCCCCCACAUCACUUUAGGGCCUAUUAUGUCUUUUUUUUAAAGAUUUAUUUAUUUAUUUGAAAGUCAGAGUUAUACAGAGAGAGGAGAGGGGGAGAGAGAGAGAGAGAGAGAUGUCUUCCAUCUGAUGGUUCACUCCCCAAUUGGCUGCAACGAUCGGAACUGUGCCAAUCCUAAGCCAGGAGCUUCUUCCCGGUCUCCCAUGU